rnacentral:rRNA from 1 species
UAACACAUGCAAGUCGAGCGGAAACGAGUUAUCUGAACCUUCGGGGAACGAUAACGGCGUCGAGCGGCGGACGGGUGAGUAAUGCCUAGGAAAUUGCCCUGAUGUGGGGGAUAACCAUUGGAAACGAUGGCUAAUACCGCAUAAUGCCUACGGGCCAAAGAGGGGGACCUUCGGGCCUCUCGCGUCAGGAUAUGCCUAGGUGGGAUUAGCUAGUUGGUGAGGUAAUGGCUCACCAAGGCGACGAUCCCUAGCUGGUCUGAGAGGAUGAUCAGCCACACUGGAACUGAGACACGGUCCAGACUCCUACGGGAGGCAGCAGUGGGGAAUAUUGCACAAUGGGCGCAAGCCUGAUGCAGCCAUGCCGCGUGUGUGAAGAAGGCCUUCGGGUUGUAAAGCACUUUCAGUCGUGAGGAAGGUGGUAGAGUUAAUAGCUCUAUCAUUUGACGUUAGCGACAGAAGAAGCACCGGCUAACUCCGUGCCAGCAGCCGCGGUAAUACGGAGGGUGCGAGCGUUAAUCGGAAUUUCUGGGCGUAAAGCGCAUGCAGGUGGUUUGUUAAGUCAGAUGUGAAAGCCCGGGGCUCAACCUCGGAAUAGCAUUUGAAACUGGCAGACUAGAGUACUGUAGAGGGGGGUAGAAUUUCAGGUGUAGCGGUGAAAUGCGUAGAGAUCUGAAGGAAUACCGGUGACGAAGCGGCCCCUGGACAGAUACUGACACUCAGAU